AGGGAGCUUGCUCCCGGAUGUUAGCGGCGGACGGGUGAGUAACACGUGGGUAACCUGCCUGUAAGACUGGGAUAACUCCGGGAAACCGGAGCUAAUACCGGAUAGUUCCUUGAACCGCAUGGUUCAAGGAUGAAAGACGGUUUCGGCUGUCACUUACAGAUGGACCCGCGGCGCAUUAGCUAGUUGGUGGGGUAAUGGCUCACCAAGGCGACGAUGCGUAGCCGACCUGAGAGGGUGAUCGGCCACACUGGGACUGAGACACGGCCCAGACUCCUACGGGAGGCAGCAGUAGGGAAUCUUCCGCAAUGGACGAAAGUCUGACGGAGCAACGCCGCGUGAGUGAUGAAGGUUUUCGGAUCGUAAAGCUCUGUUGUUAGGGAAGAACAAGUGCGAGAGUAACUGCUCGCACCAUGACGGUACCUAACCAGAAAGCCACGGCUAACUACGUGCCAGCAGCCGCGGUAAUACGUAGGUGGCAAGCGUUGUCCGGAAUUAUUGGGCGUAAAGGGCUCGCAGGCGGUUUCUUAAGUCUGAUGUGAAAGCCCCCGGCUCAACCGGGGAGGGUCAUUGGAAACUGGGAAACUUGAGUGCAGAAGAGGAGAGUGGAAUUCCACGUGUAGCGGUGAAAUGCGUAGAGAUGUGGAGGAACACCAGUGGCGAAGGCGACUCUCUGGUCUGUAACUGACGCUGAGGAGCGAAAGCGUGGGGAGCGAACAGGAUUAGAUACCCUGGUAGUCCACGCCGUAAACGAUGAGUGCUAAGUGUUAGGGGGUUUCCGCCCCUUAGUGCUGCAGCUAACGCAUUAAGCACUCCGC
rnacentral:rRNA from 1 species